AUUGAACGCUGGCGGCAUGCUUUACACAUGCAAGUCGAACGGCAGCGCGGGCUUCGGCCUGGCGGCGAGUGGCGAACGGGUGAGUAAUGCAUCGGAACGUGCCCAGUAGUGGGGGAUAGCCCGGCGAAAGCCGGAUUAAUACCGCAUACGACCUGAGGGUGAAAGCGGGGGACCGAAAGGCCUCGCGCUAUUGGAGCGGCCGAUGUCGGAUUAGCUAGUUGGUGGGGUAAAGGCUUACCAAGGCGACGAUCCGUAGCUGGUCUGAGAGGACGACCGGCCACACUGGGACUGGGACACGGCCCAGACUCCUACGAGAGGCAGCAGUGGGGAAUUUUGGACAAUGGGGGCAACCCUGAUCCAGCCAUGCCGCGUGCGAGAAGAAGGCCUUCGGGUUGUAAACCGCUUUUGUUCGGGAAGAAAUCCUCUGGGCUAAUACCCCGGGGGGAUGACGGUACCGGAAGAAUAAGCACCGGCUAACUACGUG
rnacentral:rRNA from 1 species